ensembl:lncRNA
GUCGACACGAAGAUGAUGUUCUAUGUUAAAAGUCAUUGUGGUUUUAGUGUGACGUAAAUCUGCCUAGUAACAGAAAAGGGGGCUGUACAAUUCUUAACCCCAUAAAACAGUUGUCUGAAUAUGAGAAAGACAGUUCAACACUGAUUGGGUUGUUGAACUCACACAUGUGUUCAUUAAAAUGCCGUCUAAAUUGCACACGCCUGGAUCUGUGGUUUUUAUGGAUUCUUCUCUCAACAUUGAACCCUAACAUUUGGGGGCUCGUUCCGGUGAGAGAGAGGUAGAGGGGUUUUGGUGAGAUCCGGGGUCCGUGGCAAUUGGACGGGCAGACGGUAAUCAGUGGUGAAAGUGAGCAGGCAUUCCCCGGGGCAUUUAAAGAACCAGUGUGUCCCCUAGGCCUGAUAACACUCUUGCCCAGUUGGCCACUGUAGUAGGCGGGCAUGGAAGGCUGGACAGCACAUGACGGGUAAGAUCCCACCUCGAAACCCUGGGACAACCUAAGGCAAGGCGCAGUCACGAUUGCUUGAACCUAAGUCCCGGAGUGACCUUGGAGUCACUGGAGGAGACGGGAUUUAACAGGUAAGGCCACUGGGCACAGGCGGAGGGGAAAUGUCAUUAACAAGGACCAGUGAUGAACCAGAGAGAGAAAAUACACCCUGUCAAAAGGAGUUUGAAACACUGCAAAAGAAACAUUUACAAGAUCACAAAGAUCAUAAAGAAACAUUUAUAAAAACCACACAUACAAACAGAAAAUGCACUAACCUUACAGAGAUAAGCUCAUGAAGAGUAAUGCAUAGAUAGUAAUUAAAACUUGGCUAAGAACACAAACAUAUGUAAUUAAAUCAGCCUGCUAAUUUCAUGAGGGUUAAAAUGGUGUGAAUGUUGAAGAAAAUACACUUAAAACACACUUGGAUAAAAUAGAGUUGUUGUGGAAUAACUCAAACGAAGCUGUAUGACAAGGGAGUGAGUUAUGGAAAAAACAAAAACAAAAGAGGAGUAAUUACUUAGGAGUGCUCUUGCACUGAUUUAUCAAAGUAAGUGAUUAGUAUAGAAAGAAAAUGAAAAUAAUUCAAUAAUGUGAUAAGGUUUAAACAUGUAUUCCUCUUGUUAAGUUGGCUGUUGAGUUGUGGGUUUAUGCAAAUUAGCUGGAGCAGAGACACUUCCUGUGUGUGUGUGUGUCGGAGGCUUUCUGUUCAGUUCAAGAGAGAUCGGGGCUGAUGAAGAGUAUUUGGAGAAAUAUAAUGGUAAAGUAUCAGGAUAUUUGAUUACGGUGGUCAGGUC